rnacentral:rRNA from 1 species
GAUGAGCAUGCGUCCCAUUAGCUUGUUGGUAAGGUAACGGCUUACCAAGGCAACGAUGGGUAGGGGUCCUGAGAGGGAGAUCCCCCACACUGGUACUGAGACACGGACCAGACUCCUACGGGAGGCAGCAGUGAGGAAUAUUGGUCAAUGGGCGCAAGCCUGAACCAGCCAUGCCGCGUGCAGGAUGAAGCAUCUAUGGUGUGUAAACUGCUUUUGUACGAGAAGAAACACUCCUACGUGUAGGAGCUUGACGGUAUCGUAAGAAUAAGGACCGGCUAACUCCGUGCCAGCAGCCGCGGUAAUACGGAGGGUCCAAGCGUUAUCCGGAAUCAUUGGGUUUAAAGGGUCCGUAGGCGGUUUUGUAAGUCAGUGGUGAAAGCCCAUCGCUCAACGGUGGAACGGCCAUUGAUACCGCAAGACUUGAAUUAUUGGGAAGUAACUAGAAUAUGUAGUGUAGCGGUGAAAUGCUUAGAGAUUACAUGGAAUACCAAUUGCGAAGGCAGGUUACUACCAAUAUAUUGACGCUGAUGGA